CUGAAGUGGGUGGCCAUUUCCUUCUCCAGGUGAUCUUCCCAACCCAGGAAUCAAACCCACAUCUCUUAUGUCUUGAGCACUGGUGGGUUCCAGCAUCCUCCUGCUGAUAGUUGUUCAACAGCUAGUUGUGAUUUUGGUGCUCUUGCAGGAAGACAUGAGCUUACGUUCAUCUACUCUGCCAUCUUGAACCAGAAGCUCCUCACAGUCUCACAUUUCAGACACUCUAUGAAGGCCUCUGUUUACAUAGCUGCUGGAGUGGGGAAACUCAUUCGAGUGUAAACCAGAAGUGCUCUGAAGGACAGCUCUUUUACUUGUGAAUGAUCAUUUGAAUUUCAAGAUAUCUGACAACAGAAACAAUAUUGUCAUAAACUCAUGUGUAUAUUGUCUAUAGGCAAUUUUAGCACCACUCCCUGUAACAGUUGAUGAUUAAUGAAGAAAGAAAGGAAUAAAUAAAAAAAUACAGACAAUAAUAUUGUUGCACAAUAUUCUGAAUGGCAAAAUCUUUUCUGGUAAAUUGAAGCCAUGUGUAUUGGUGAUUUGAGUGAAAGAUUGAAAAUAAG
ensembl:lncRNA